rnacentral:rRNA from 1 species
CAAUAGCGUAUAUUAAAGUUGUUGCAGUUAAAAAGCUCGUAGUUGGAUCUGUGGUGUGCGGUGGGCUCCGGGCACUUGUUGUCUGAGUAGCUCGCCGCUGCCAUCCUUGGGUGGAACCUGUGUGGCAUUAGGUUGUCGUGCAGGGGAUGCCCAUCGUUUACUGUGAAAAAAUUAGAGUGUUCAAAGCAGGCUUAUGCCGUUGAAUAUAUUAGCAUGGAAUAAUGAGAUAGGACUUUUUCGCUAUUUUGUUGGUUUGCGCGAAGAGGUAAUGAUUAAUAGGGACAGUUGGGGGUAUCCGUAUUCCAUUGUCAGAGGUGAAAUUCUUGGAUUUUUGGAAGACGAACUACUGCGAAAGCAUUUACCAAGGAUGUUUUCAUUAA